UACGUAGGGUGCGAGCGUUAAUCGGAAUUACUGGGCGUAAAGCGUGCGCAGGCGGUUGUGUAAGUCAGAUGUGAAAUCCCCGGGCUCAACCUGGGAACUGCAUUUGUGACUGCACGGCUGGAGUGCGGCAGAGGGGGAUGGAAUUCCGCGUGUAGCAGUGAAAUGCGUAGAUAUGCGGAGGAACACCGAUGGCGAAGGCAAUCCCCUGGGCCUGCACUGACGCUCAUGCACGAAAGCGUGGGGAGCAAACAGG
rnacentral:rRNA from 1 species